GCCGCUGUGGUGGAAUCGGCAGACACAAAGGACUUAAAAUCCUUCGAUAGUAAUAUCGUACCGGUUCAAGUCCGGUCAGCGGCACCA
rnacentral:tRNA from 1 species